AUCCGCGCAUGCGGGGCUUACUCAGUUGCAGCCGGCGCCUACUGCCACUCCCGGGAGCAUGAAGGACCGAACCCAGGAGCUCCGCACGGCCAAGGACAGCGAUGACGACGACGAUGAUGUCACCGUCACCGUGGACAGAGACCGCUUCAUGGAUGAGUUCUUUGAACAGGUGGAAGAGAUUCGGGGCUUCAUUGACAAGAUUGCCGAAAACGUGGAGGAGGUGAAGCGGAAACACAGCGCCAUCCUGGCCUCCCCAAACCCCGAUGAGAAGACCAAGGAGGAACUGGAAGAGCUCAUGUCGGACAUUAAGAAGACAGCGAACAAGGUUCGAUCCAAGCUAAAGAGCAUCGAGCAGAGCAUCGAGCAGGAGGAAGGUCUGAACCGCUCAUCAGCCGACCUGAGGAUCCGGAAGACGCAGCACUCCACGCUGUCCCGAAAGUUUGUGGAGGUCAUGUCCGAGUACAACGCCACCCAGUCAGACUACCGAGAACGCUGCAAAGGGCGCAUCCAGAGGCAACUGGAGAUCACCGGCCGGACCACGACUAGUGAGGAGUUGGAAGACAUGCUGGAGAGUGGGAAUCCUGCCAUCUUUGCCUCUGGGAUCAUCAUGGAUUCCAGCAUCUCGAAGCAGGCCCUCAGUGAGAUCGAGACCAGACACAGCGAGAUUAUCAAGUUGGAGAACAGCAUCCGGGAACUUCAUGACAUGUUCAUGGACAUGGCCAUGCUGGUGGAGAGCCAGGAGACUGUCCCGAACCCCGACCCUGCGCUCCCUCCUGGUCCUGAGGAGGGAGGCCUGGACCUUGGGUACCCCUGGUCCUGCAGGGGGAGAUGAUUGACAGGAUCGAGUACAAUGUGGAGCACGCUGUGGACUACGUGGAGAGGGCUGUGUCAGACACCAAGAAGGCCGUCAAGUACCAGAGCAAGGCGCGCAGGAAGAAGAUCAUGAUCAUCAUUUGCUGUGUGAUUCUGGGCAUCGUCAUCGCCUCCACCAUCGGGGGCAUCUUUGGAUAGAAACCACCCCUCGCACUGCUCCAUUCUGGAUGGGUCUCCCUGAGGAGGCCCCUGGCUGCUGCACCUAGCUGGGUUGCCCCUCCCCACUCCUGCCUUCUGGCUGGGAGUCCUUUACCCUCCCAUCCAACACUGCCCCCUCUCUGCCAUGAGACUCCCGUCCCCACCACCCUGCCCCAAGCCGUGUCGUGUGCAUGAUCUUGUGACAGUGUGUGUCUGUACAGGAGGCAGAGGGGAACAGGAUUGGGAACAGCCAGAGGGGCUGCGUACAGGCCAAUGCGGGCAAGACUCGGGCCCUGGCCAGGUCCGCCUUUCUUCAGGCCUGGGGUCUGCUCCUCCCUGGCACUCAGGCUCCUUUCUGGACCCCAACCUUGCCCUCACCUGCCCUGCCCUCUGGCCCCUCCAGCUCUCCUCACCAUGCCAAGGCACCUGGAGGGUGGGGACCAGCUGGUCACAUGGUGCUGCUUUUCAGGUUAGGGGUGGGGCUAGCUCAGCGCUGAGUCCUUGGUAGCUGUCCACUGGCAGGAGGCUCAGGGUGCCACGGCUGCUGGUGUGCUAGGAGCACCCAGUACCCCUUCUUUGGGCAAAACCUGACAAUGUCUCUGGCCUCAGCUGCCCUUACCACAGCCCUGGGAGUCAUGUUCCUGGGCUUUCCUAAGAGGCGUACCGUCUCCAGCCUUGCUUCGAGCUGCAGAGGUGGAGCAGGCCAUAGUCUCUAACGGGCAUGUUAAGUUGUGACCAGAGUUGCAUGUUGGGGACAGUGGUUCCCAUGCUCUGAAAAGCCAGGUGUCACUUUGGGCCUGCAGGCUCACCCUGUCCCCCAGUCUCCCAUUGAUGUGCCACGUGGUGUCAGGUGUACUGGAUGCAGUAUUCAGCAGCCAGCUGGGGAGGGGGCUCCCCACUUCCUUCCCCUGCCAUCUUGGGGCUUCUCGGAGUCAAGACUGUACCCCCUGCCCCAGGACCCCUCUCUCGUCCACAGGCAAGGAGAAUGCAUGCGAGUGCAUGCAGCGGGGCUGGGGCCGUGUCCAUGUGCCCCCUUUCCCCCAGCUUUGCUCCUGCCCGGUGACUGUGACCACUGUCCGUGCUGCCUUCUCUCACGGCCACCCCCACCCCCUUUAUCCCUUCACCAAAGGUCUUGGUACAACCAGCUGCCCAUUUUGUGAGAUUUUUAUGUAGAAUAAACAUUUGUAUCUGUA